GUGUGUGCACAGUUCUCGGCGUUGGGUUUCCAGGAGGAGCCCAGUACUCAGAAGUCUGGCCGGCUGGCUCCUCUGCCCCGUUGCCUGCGUGGGCGCUACCCCUCUUCCUGCUCUCUCUCGCCACUUCUCAGGCUUCCUUUCCCCCUCCCACACUUCUGCCCUCCAUACUCUCUUCUGUCCCCUUCUCACUGUGAUCUCUUCCUGCGAGAUCAUCCUUUCAAUGGAUCUGAUGCUCCCUCUUUUUAUUCCAUUCCCAGGUCUGCAUGGGAGUUCCUAUCAAGCCUCCAGAACCCCAGCCCCGUAUGUCCUCCUUCUUCAGGAUGUCACCACCUCCCUGACUACCGGGCAAGCCUGGACCUCAGACUCCGAAGGCUGAAAAUGCUGUGCCUCACCCCGAAGCCCAGCCACUGACCAACUUCCUUUCUGACAGCUUGGAUGUCAAAGGUGUUAAUUCCACUGCCAUGGAUCCUUCCAACAUCAUCUAUUUAACGCCAGUCCUCAAGCCCUCCGUGUGGACUCUGCUCUCCAGAGGUGAAGAGGGUCGUCCAAAUUGGCUUGUCUCAUUGAUAAAAACCCUCCAAAUUCCACUUCUAAAAACAAUUCUGGAACCUCGAAGAUGUCAUAUAGGUAAUCGUGCAGCUGCCAGAGCACGACACAAGGGAAGACCUUGGGAACCUCGUUCACUCUGAGACUGACCUGCAAAAGGUCAGUGGAGGUUGUAUUGUGUCCCCUCGCCAAGGAAGGACUCCAUGCACCUGUCUGCGUGCACCUGUCUGCAUGAGGCCAGAGGAAAGAGUCUAAUGUCUCUCCGGGACUAUCCCAUAAGCCAACUUCCACUUUGUUUUCCUGGCUACAGAAAUCUGUUACCCGGCCACUGAAUCCAGCAGCAGACCUGGCGGACCCUGAAGCCUGGCUCAGUGGCCUCAUCAGAUCCUCAUAGCUACAGAAUGUCCUUCACAUGUCCCAGAGCAUGGUCACACACACACACACACACACACACACACACACACACUGAGAAUGAGAGAGAGAGGGUUUUGCAAAAGACAGCCAUGCACAGGGAGGCUCAACAACAGAAAUCUAUUUCCUCGAAUUUCUGGAGACUGGAAGUCCAAGACCAGCAGGGUAGGUAGGGGUCUGGUGUGGGCUCCCCCCCUUGGCCCGCUGAGCUCUGCUUUCUUGCCGUGUGCUGGCAUGACGUCUCUUCUCAUAAGGACACUAAUCGUAUCAGAUCAGGGCCUCACCAUUAUUAUCUCCUUAACUUUAAUUACUUCCUCAGAGGCCCCAUCUCCAAAUUUAGCCACCCUGGGGAUUAGGGCUUCCACAUAUGAAUUUAGGGGAGGGCACACAAACUGUCGGGGAAUGUUCGGUGUGAGAAGAGUGUACAUUCUGCUCAUGUUGGAUGAAAUAUCCUCUAAGUGUCAAAGAUCCAGACAAUGGAUAAUGCUGUUGAGUUCAACUGUGUAUUUACUGAUUUUCUGCCUCUUUGAUCUGUCAGUUUGUUCAGCUUUUCUUCGUGUCAGGAUGGGAAUGACAAUUUCCAGGCUCUUUACAUGUUGGAGCUGACACAGGGGUUCCCCAGAUUUGCUUUUUUGAGCCAGAAGGAGUUCAAUAGUUGGGAAAGUGUAGACAGCCCCUUCCCGGCUGCCCUUGGGAAUGUAUGUAGAUGAAAUGUCUUCAUUUCAUCAACUUUCAAGCUAAAAGGUUGUCUUUGGAGUAUGGAAAAUAAAGAUGGUCUAGAAAUGGGGACAGAGAAGAAGGAAGAAGUUUCUGAGGGGACCCUGGGUCUGUGGCCCCAGUACCGGAGACAGACAACAGCUUUAGUGUUCAUACACAGCAUUCUGAAAAAGGGUUUACCAAUGGUACUUUGGGGUUCAAAUCCAGGCAUUCAGAAGCCCCUUCCCCAUUUCUGGUGAGUACUGAAGUGGCUGGGGGGGUGAGCUGCUGACAAGACGGUAUUCACUGGUAUAACUUAGGGAGAGCAAGCCCAUUCUCCAGGGAGCUCAGUGCAAAUCCUAGAAACCUGGGCCCCAAAGCUCAUCCAACAUUGUGGCUAAUGGAGUCGAAGAGCCAACUCAUGUCCAUCUUGUAUUACUUCUUAACUGCGCGGCCUUGAGCAAAUUCCUGCCCUCCCAGUGUCUCCCAUCUGGAAUGGAAGAUUAAAUGAGAUAAUCAGUGUAAAGCACUCCAUAAACGUUAGCUGUUAGUAUGAAUAGCUGUCACAGCGAAUUAUUUUUUUUAUGUUGGAGGGCAGUCCAGAAAGGACUACUUACAGUUACUUAGGUUUUAAAUUAAUGUUCCUUUCAUUAAAGUAGAAAUAACCUAGUUAUCCUUAAGCUGUUAUGUUCAGUUUAUAAAUCUUGUUAUUCUAUUUAUAAAAAUGGCAAGAUAAGAACAGUGACCCUCAAUUUUCUUUGAUUAAUGAUCUAUUAACUCAACUUGAAGACCCUAAGCUCCCUUUAGAGAUCAUCUGUAAACUUAAUUAAAUUCCUCUAAACACUCUGGACUGCAUUUAUAAAUUUAACAUAUUACAUUUCCUUUGUAAGCACUGCAGUUGCCUAACAAAGCAAACUAAUGACUCUAAGAAGCAAGUAAUAAAUUCUUAUAUGCCUAAGACAUAAAAUGUAUUAACAUAGUGAAGGAAAAGAAAGAAAAAUUAAAUUGUAUUAACAUAGUGAAACACCAGUGUUCUUUAAAAUCCUAUUAGCAUUCACAAAAAAAUAAAGUCAAGUUUUCUUUCCCUUAAAA